UGGCUCAGGAUGAACGCUGGCGGCGUGCCUAACACAUGCAAGUCGAGCGGAGAUAAGUUGAAGCCUAGCGAUUCUUAUCUUAGCGGCGGAUGGGUGAGUAACACGUGGGUAACCUGCCCUGUACUGGGGAAUAACAGCUGGAAACGGCUGUUAAUGCCGCAUAUGCGCACGGAGCCGCAUGACUCCGGGCGGAAAGAUUUAUCGGUACAGGAUGGGCCCGCGCCGGAUUAACUAGUUGGCGGGGUAACGGCCCACCAAGGUGAUGAUCCGUAGCCGACCUGAGAGGGUGACCGGCCACAUUGGGACUGAGACACGGCCCAAACUCCUACGGGAGGCAGCAGUGGGGGAUAUUGCACAAUGGGGGAAACCCUGAAUGCAGCGACGCCGCGUGAAGGAUGACGUAUUUCGGUAUGUAAACUUCUAUCAGCGGGGAAGAAGAUGACGGUACCCGACUAAGAAGCCCCGGCUAACUACGUGCCAGCCGCCGC
rnacentral:rRNA from 1 species